rnacentral:rRNA from 1 species
GAUGAACGCUAGCGGGAGGCCUAACACAUGCAAGCCGAGCGGUAGAGUUUCUUCGGAAACUUGAGAGCGGCGCACGGGUGCGUAACACGUGUGCAACCUACCUUUAUCUGGGGGAUAGCCUUUCGAAAGGAAGAUUAAUACCCCAUAAUAUAAUGAUUGGCAUCAAUUAUUAUUGAAAACUCCGGUGGAUAGAGAUGGGCACGCGCAAGAUUAGCUAGUUGGUGAGGUAACGGCUCACCAAGUCAAUGAUCUUUAGGGGUCCUGAGAGGGAGAUCCCCCACACUGGUACUGAGACACGGACCAGAAUCCUACGGGAGGCAGCAGAGAGGAAUAUUGGACAAUGGGGGAGAACCUGAUCCAGCCACCCCGCGUGAAGGAUGACGGUCCUAGGGAUUGUAAGCUUCUUUUGUACAGGGAUAAACCUACCCUCGUGAGGGUAGCUGAAGGUACUGUACGAAUAAGCACCGGCUAACUCCGUG